rnacentral:rRNA from 1 species
AUUGAACGCUGGCGGCAGGCCUAACACAUGCAAGUCGAGCGGAUGAGAGGAGCUUGCUUCUCGAUUCAGCGGCGGACGGGUGAGUAAUGCCUAGGAAUCUGCCUGGUAGUGGGGGACAACGUUUCGAAAGGAACGCUAAUACCGCAUACGUCCUACGGGAGAAAGCAGGGGACCUUCGGGCCUCGCGCUAUCAGAUGAGCCUAGGUCGGAUUAGCUAGUUGGUGGGGUAAUGGCUCACCAAGGCGACGAUCCGUAACUGGUCUGAGAGGAUGAUCAGUCACACUGGAACUGAGACACGGUCCAGACUCCUACGGGAGGCAGCAGUGGGGAAUAUUGGACAAUGGGCGAAAGCCUGAUCCAGCCAUGCCGCGUGUGUGAAGAAGGUCUUCGGAUUGUAAAGCACUUUAAGUUGGGAGGAAGGGUUGUAGAUUAAUACUCUGCAAUUUUGACGUUACCGACAGAAUAAGCACCGGCUAACUCUGUGCCAGCAGCCGCCGUAAAAC